CACGUAGGGUGCGAGCGUUGUCCGGAAUUAUUGGGCGUAAAGAGCUCGUAGGCGGUGUGUCGCGUCGGCCGUGAAAACCUGCAGCUUAACUGUGGGCUUGCGGUCGAUACGGGCAUCACUGGAGUUCGGCAGGGGAGACUGGAAUUCCUGGUGCAGCGGUGAAAUGCGCAGAUAUCAGGAGGAACACCGGUGGCGAAGGCGGGUCUCUGGGCCGAUACUGACGCUGAGGAGCGAAAGCGUGGGGAGCGAACCGG
rnacentral:rRNA from 1 species